UACGGGGGGGGCAAACGUUGUUCGGAAUUACUGGGCGUAAAGGGCUCGUAGGUGGCCAACUAAGUCAGACGUGAAAUCCCUCGGCUUAACCGGGGAACUGCGUCUGAUACUGGAUGGCUUGAGUUCGGGAGAGGGAUGCGGAAUUCCAGGUGUAGCGGUGAAAUGCGUAGAUAUCUGGAGGAACACCGGUGGCGAAGGCGGCAUCCUGGACCGACACUGACACUGAGGAGCGAAAGCCAGGGGAGCAAACGGG
rnacentral:rRNA from 1 species